UCAUGAAGAAGGCAGGAAACCUAAAUUUAAAUGGCAGUUUUCCAAAAUUCCCUAGAAACUUCCCAAAGACGAGGGACGAGGUAAGUGGAUUUGGCGAAGGAAGAUUUCCGUAAAUAAUUUGGAUUUUAGAUUAGAAUGCAAAACAUCUCGCAUCGUCAAUAUCGUACGCGCAGAUACGGUGUCGCUACGUCAUUCCGUGAUUUCACCCUGGUUUAAUGAUUUAAACAAAUUUAAAUUAAUUCAAGCACUUUCGCGCUCAGAGCUAAUUUUACUGUUGAUUUCUGUCGCGUGAACUGCAGUUGGAUUUCUUGGACGAGGAAACGAACAAACGAAACGUCAGUCAGAUUCUCCACUGAUCUCCGCAAUGGAUGAGAACGCGGAUCGACUGAGUAAAUACACGAAGCAUUCGCUAAAAACUGUGCCCAAAUCAAAUGUUCUGGAAUGUCGAGUUUGCGAGGAGGUUUUCACAGUGGACGGUGUAAAGGUGCCACGUUUGUUGCACUGUGGACACACAGUGUGCCACUCGUGCUUACUGCGGUUGAGGACUUGCAUGUCGGAGCAGCAGUUUCUGCUAUGUCCUUUUGAUCGGCAACCUACCGCCAUUCACGAGAACAGUAUCUAUAGUUUGAAGAAGAACUUUGCGCUUAUCGAGCUGCUUGAACGACUGGAGCAGUCCAACAGCCAGAAAACGCUGGUGUUGGAGCGCGAGAGGCUUCAGUCAAAUCUAUCGUGCGACGAGGACGAGGCGCAUACUGCAGUUCUUUAUUGUACUGUCUGUGCCACACACCUGUGUGAGGCUUGCGACACCACCACACAUUCGUCCAAGACCCUGGGCAAACACAGACGCGUGCCGCUGUCGGAGAAGCCACGUGAGAAGCCUCGCUGUCCAAUACACACGGCAGACGUAGCUGAAUUCACGUGUACUCAGGAAGGCUGUCACAAUUCCUUGAUGUGCUACCUAUGUAAAGAAUAUGGCAAACAUAGUACACACAAGCCGGUAUUGGUCGAGGAAGAAGCCGAAAACAUCAGGAAGUCCAUUAUCGCAGCAUUGCAGAAGAUGACACAGUUUAUGGAAAGCAUGAGAGAUACCGCACAUAAAAUAGAAAUAGUAAUCGAAGAAUUGGAAGGCUGGGCGAUCGAAGACGCGAGGAGGAGGGUGCGAUACCAUUUCGAGGAAUUACGUGCUAUUUUGACCGAACAAGAGAAAACGGCGAUGGCGUACAUCGAGACGGAAACUCGCGGUAGACUUUGUGCACUGAGGCAACAACAGAAAGAUCUCACGACCACAAGAUCGCAAGUGGCCGGUGUAUGCAUCCAAUGCGAAAGCAUACUCGAUUCCGAGGAUUGGAAGUUGCUGAGCAGCUCAGAAAAAGUCAAGGAAGUGCUGGCGACAUUGGAGCAACAGCAGCAACAUUAUGCGCAAUUAGGACCGGAUUUUCUCAGUCCUGAAUCCUCCAUUCCCAUUAUAUUUAGCAGGGAUAAUAGAAUACACAUUGGAACAAAGAUCGAUAUGCGCGUAGUAAUCCUAGGACUGGAUGGUGCGGGAAAGACGAGCAUUUUAUCUGCUAUGCGAGGCGUCACGCUGCCAAAUCCACCGAUUCCCACUAUCGGUUUCAACGUUGAAAGUUUGGAGUACAUGAAUCUCGUAUUUACUCUCUGGGAUGUUAGCGGUCAUCAGAAGUUCCGACCACUGUGGAAGCAUUACUAUCAUAACACGCAAGCUGUUAUUUUCGUGGUUGACGCUAGCGAUAGAUCUCGUUUCGAAGAGGCACGAAAAGAAUUAUCAAAGAUACUUUAUGAACGAGAAUUGAAGGAUGCUCUACUUUUAAUAUAUGCUAAUAAACAGGACGUUCCUGGCUGUGCGAAUGUGGAGGAAUUAGUCGAUAUACUCGGCUUGCAUAAACUUUGUUGUGCAAGAAUAUGGCACGUUCAGGGCUCAUCAUUAGUUACCAACGCCAGUGGUACGUUGCAGGGUCUUGACUGGCUUUCGACGCAAUGUGUAUAAAUUUUUUUUUUAUAAAAUUAUGUAUGGAAAAAGCCGAAGACACAUGUAACGCUAAUUGUGAUUUCCACGCUAAGAUGGUACGAAGCAGACUGAAGUUAGAUAGUCAACAUGAUGGAUGUCAACGUGUGAAUGAUGAAUCAAUCAUAUCGUCGCAGAUCUUUUUUUAUUAACUCGUCAAUCCACAAGAUAAAUCUAUUCUGUUAAGUCACGCUAUACCAAAAAAAAAAAAAAAAAAAAAGUAAUUCGUAAGUCACGACAUAGUCACUUCGGAGAAAAAUGGUGUCAGUUUAUUUUCCGAUAUAAAAAUGGAAUUACAAGAUUAAUUAUAUUCGAACAUGAUACAAUAAAAUAGCGUGUAUAUGCAUAUAUGUACAUAUACAAUGGUAAUUGGAAGCAAUUUGCACAAUCGAUUCGUACACAUUACUACAAAUGAUGAAAAUG